rnacentral:rRNA from 1 species
GCAGUCGAGCGAACAGAUAAGGAGCUUGCUCCUUUGACGUUAGCGGCGGACGGGUGAGUAACACGUGGGUAACCUACCUAUAAGACUGGAAUAACUUCGGGAAACCGAAGCUAAUGCCGGAUAACAUGUAGAACCGCAUGGUUCUACAGUGAAAGAUGGCUUUGCUAUCACUUAUAGAUGGACCCGCGCCGUAUUAGCUAGUUGGUAAGGUAACGGCUUACCAAGGCAACGAUACGUAGCCGACCUGAGAGGGUGAUCGGCCACACUGGAACUGAGACACGGUCCAGACUCCUACGGGAGGCAGCAGUAGGGAAUCUUCCGCAAUGGGCGAAAGCCUGACGGAGCAACGCCGCGUGAGUGAUGAAGGUCUUCGGAUCGUAAAGCUCUGUUAUUAGGGAAGAACAAAUGCGUAAGUAACUGUGCGCACCUUGACGGUACCUAAUCAGAAAGCCACGGCUAACUACGUGCCAGCAGCCGCGGUAAUACGUAGGUGGCAAGCGUUAUCCGGAAUUAUUGGGCGUAAAGCGCGCGUAGGCGGUUUCUUAAGUCUGAUGUGAAAGCCCACGGCUCAACCGUGGAGGGUCAUUGGAAACUGGGAAACUUGAGUGCAGAAGAGGAAAGUGGAAUUCCAUGUGUAGCGGUGAAAUGCGCAGAGAUAUGGAGGAACACCAGUGGCGAAGGCGACUUUCUGGUCUGUAACUGACGCUGAUGUGCGAAAGCGUGGGGAUCAAACAGGAUUAGAUACCCUGGUAGUCCACGCCGUAAACGAUGAGUGCUAAGUGUUAGGGGGUUUCCGCCCCUUAGUGCUGCAGCUAACGCAUUAAGCACUCCGCC